rnacentral:rRNA from 1 species
UACGUAGGGGGCUAGCGUUGUCCGGAAUUACUGGGCGUAAAGGGCGCGUAGGCGGCCUGUUAAGUCGAACGUGAAAUCCCCGGGCUCAACCCGGGAACUGCGUCCGAAACUGGCAGGCUUGAAUUCGGGAGAGGGAUGCGGAAUUCCAGGUGUAGCGGUGAAAUGCGUAGAUAUCUGGAGGAACAUCGGUGGCGAAGGCGGCAUCCUGGACCGAGAUUGACGCUGAGGCGCGAAAGCCAGGGGAGCAAACGGG